rnacentral:rRNA from 1 species
UACAGGGGGUGCAAGCGUUGCUCGGAAUUACUGGGCGUAAAGCGUGCGCAGGCGGUUUGACGAGUCGGGGGUGAAAACCCGGGGCUCAACCCCGGAAUUGCCUCCGAAACUGUCAGACUUGAAUACGAGAGAGGGUCGCGGAAUUCUUGGUGUAGAGGUGAAAUUCGUAGAUAUCAGGAAGAACACCAGUGGCGAAAGCGGCGACCUGGCUCGAUAUUGACGCUCACGCACGAAAGCGUGGGGAGCAAACAGG